rnacentral:rRNA from 1 species
UACGGAGAGUGCAAGCAUUAAUCGGAAUUAUUGGGCGUAAAAGGGCGCGUAGGCGGGAUCAUAAGUCAGAUGUGGAAAUUCCCGAAGCUCAAACUUCGGAGCUGCAUUUGAAACUAUGAACCUAGAGGAUUGACGGAGAAAACGGAAUUCCACGUGUAAGCGGUGAAAUGCGUAGAGAUGUGGAAGAACACCUGUGGCGAAAGCGGUUUUCUAGUUUAUACCUGACGCUGAGGCGACGAGAGGCAAGGGGAGCAAACAGG